rnacentral:rRNA from 1 species
GAUUUCUGGCGUGAUGCUUCCUGUCCGCGUCCGUUAGGCCGUGAGUACGGGACUGUAUCUGCCAUCCUUCUGGGAAGUGUGUCUGCCCUUCACUGGGUUGGGCAUGCGACCUAGAUCGUUUACUUUGAAAAAAUUAGAGUGUUUAAAGCAGGCGAUUGCUUGAAUACAUUAGCAUGGAAUAAUGAAAUAGGACUUUGGUUCUAUUUUGUUGGUUUCUAGGACUGAAGUAAUGAUUGAUAGGGACAGUUGGGGGUGCUAGUAUUCGACGGCCAGAGGUGAAAUUCUUGGAUUCGUUGAAGACUAACUAAUGCGAAAGCAUU